rnacentral:rRNA from 1 species
UUGAAAGGGAAACGAUUGAAGUCAGUCGUACCGACGAGAAAUCAACUUAUCGUGUGCGAACUUGUGGGCGUGCGUGAGUUUCGGCCUCGCUGUUUGCAUGUUUGUGCGUUUUGGGUGUACUUUUUCGUAUGGUAGGCCAACGUCAGUUUCGAUUAUCAUAAAAUGACCGGCGGAAUGUAGCUUCGAUUUCGGUUGAAGUGUUAUAGCCUCUGGUAGAUGUGGUGAUUGAGACUGAGGAUUGCAACGAAUACCCUUUGGGCUAUCCGUCUGGCCUCUGAAAGCUGCUCAGGUGCCGAAAGCGUGCUUACGGUUAUCUAAGAUAACGUUCAACAGGUUAGAACGUGAUUACAUUCGUUAAGGAUGUUGAC